CUGGCUCAGGAUGAACGCUGGCGGCGUGACUUAACACAUGCAAGUCGAACGGACUGCACGGACUGAAAUUUCGGAUGGAUGACCGUGUACGUUAGUGGCGGACGGGUGAGUAACGCGUGGGAAACCUGCCCUGUUCCGGGGGAUACCAGUUGGAAACGACUGUAAUACCGCAUAAGCGCACACUGCCGCAUGGCAGAGUGUGAAAAACUCCGGUGGAACAGGAUGGUCCCGCGUCUGAUUAGGCAGUUGGCGGGUAACGGCCCACCAAACCGACGAUCAGUAGCCGACCUGAGAGGGUGACCGGCCACAUUGGGACUGAGACACGGCCCAAACUCCUACGGGAGGCAGCAGUGGGGAAUAUUGCACAAUGGGGGAAACCCUGAUGCAGCCGACGCCGCGUGAGUGAAGAAGUAUUUCGGUAUGUAAAGCUCUAUCAGCAGGGAAGAAGAUGACGGUACCUGCACAAGAAGCCCCGGCUAACUACGUGCCAGCAGCCGC
rnacentral:rRNA from 1 species